rnacentral:lncRNA from 1 species
UGUCUGGAGCCCUAUUUGCUUGUCACAACUCAAGGAGGAGGGUGUUGCUACCCACAGAUAGUGGGUGGAGGCCAAGAGGCUGCUAAACACGUUCCAGGGCAAGGGAUCCCAGCAAAGAGCGGUCUGGUCCCAAAUGUCAGCAGUUCCCAGAGUGAGACUCUACUCCCAGACUCGGGGCGCAGCCUUCCUACUGGGGUACAGCCGGGUGGAGGGCCAACACUACAUCAGCCCCCCUGAUGCUGCUAAUGUGUAGCCAAGAACCACGUGGGGAGCAUUGGUUUUCAGGCCUCUCUCCCUCUUUCCUCUAUAGGGCUCUCAAGUCUGUUAGCAAAGGGCCAGGAAGAAUCCAUGUGGGGAAACAGCCCCACACAGACCCUGGCCCAGGCCAGGGUCUCCUUCCACCUCCCUGGUCCCCAGACCUCCCUGGGUACAGGGGCCUGGCCUCCUGACUCUCCUGAGGUGCAUGGAGUUGGCGGACGGGGGAGACAAGCCCUAAGUGUGAAGUGUGCGUGCUGAAAUUAUAAGACGGGAAUAGAGGCUGAGAGGGCGGAGGAACUGAGCCCCGAGGAGAAAGGGAUGAAUGCGAUGAGAGAGGGGUGGGAAUGGGGCGAGCCCUGUGGGUCUGUCCAGGGAGGCCCAGGCCCAGUGUCCAUGCGCGUCCAGGGCAAGCAGGUCACCUCGCCCCCAAACACACACACUCCACCACCUCCCAGUCACGUGCUCACACCCUCACACCACCCCACUUCAAGUUCCCACACAGCCCCACACCUCAAAUUCUCAUAAGUCACACAUGACCAGUGAUACACUCACACACAUUCACACUCACUCACACAGAUUCACUCACAGUCACACACAUUCACACACACAAAUCCUCGCACUCACACAGGUUCACCUCCUCACACCCUCACAAGCUCGUAGUCACUCUCACAGUUAUUUACUCACAUUCACACAGACACACUCUCACAUAAAUUCUCACACACCUAAUCACACUCUCAUAUUCUCAUACACUGUCACACGUCCACACACAUCUUCACACAUACUCACACACAUUCCCAUACACACUCUCACACCUCAAAUUCUCACUCACACAUUCUUAUAUACUCACACACAUUCACACACGCAUACUCUUACACAAUCCCACCCACACAGUCCGCUUAUGUCAACUUCACACACACANNNNNNNNNNNNNNNNNNNNNNNNNNNNGUUCGUGUCUGUCUCCAGGACAUCAGCCCAAUGCAGGCAGGGAUGUUUACUUGUUUAUUUUUUGGCUGCACUGGUCCUUUGUUGCUGCAAAUAGUCUUCCUCCAGUUGUGGAGAGCAGGGGCUACUCUUUGCUGCGGUGUGCAGGCUUCUCAUCGCAGUUAUUUCUCUUGCUGCGGGGCACAGGUUCUAGGCAAGCGGGCUUCAGUAGUUGUGGUGCACCGGCUUAGUUGCCCCGUAGCAUGCGGGAUCUUCCCAGACCAGGAAUCGAACCUGUUGUCCCCCGCAUUGGCAGGUGGAUUCCAAUCCACUGCACCACCAGCAAAGCCCCAGGCAGGGAUUUAUCUUGUUCAGUCUGGUCCCCAGAACUGGGUCAGAUACACAGGAAGUGCUCAGCCAAAUAUGCAAAAGCUCACACAGCCUCAAAUUCUCACACCUCAUGUUCAUGCAAUCACCCACAGUCACAACAGUUGCACACACUCACACAUCCUCACAGGCUCAUGUGUACACACACACACACACACACACACAGAAGCUCUACAAACACUCGUGGUUUCCCCUGCCUGA